UGUUUUAAGUAGAGCAGACAAGAGAGGGGCAGGAGGGGAUUUUAAGGUAGAUAGGUCAAGCGUUUUAUUGCAAGGGCUGUGCAGGGAUUUUAAACUGACUGACUGCUUUAAAACCCUGCAUCCAAGAGAGGAGGGCUUCACCUGGACCAGUGGUGAUGGCACCAGAGCCUGUCGCAUUGAUUAUCUGUUUACCCGGGACUGUCCCCCAACUGAUGCUAGAAUAACCCCUGCUUUCUUCUCAGAUCAUGUAAUGCUGACGUGCACCCUUUCACUAUCCUCGGGUGUGACUGUGGGAAGAGGGCCCUGGAAACUGAACUGCUCCCUUCUAGAAGAUGAUAGAGUAGUUAGUCAGUACAGAGAGCAGUUCAGCCAGUGGCAGACGCUACAGGACUUUUUUGACACACGAGCACAGUGGUGGGAAAUGGUGAAGGGAAGGACGAGGACUUUCUUUAGAGAGAUAGGAAAGGAAAAAAGCAAAGAAAAAGAUAGACGCAUAGUGGGACUGCAAAACCGACUGGAAAGGAUCGGGAACCAGUAUGUCCAGUGCGCGGGCUCGCUAUAGGUGAGCCCACAACGGUUUGGCGCAACGUGGCCCAUCCUGCUCUCCUGAAUCGGCAUCGGGACCUGUCCUGGAUGGUCGCCCACGAGAUCCUCCCGGUCAGGGCCGUUAUGCACUCACGGGGCAUGGCGAGGAUAUCCCCGUGCCCCCGACCAGGCUGCGGCCAAGAAGAGUCGGUGAGGCACAUGCUCUGGGAGUGCAGAGCUGCCAGAGACCUGUGGAAGGAAGCAGGCCCCCUGAUCACCUCGUGUUUGUCAGCAGGGGAGGACCUAACACCUCAGCUCGUGCUGUAUGGGGUGGGCCGAAGGCCCAUUCCAUCGAAGACCUUCACCAAGCUCUGGUCCACCCUCACGUGCCUGAAGGAAGCACUGUGGUCCUCCCGUAACCUGCUGGUAGUGAAAAACAUAGAGACCACCCCCCAGGCAGUGGCCAUGGUAGGUACGGAAGAAAGGGGGCCUCGACCCCAAGCGAAGGGUCCCCCACAACACCCUAGGUCCCGGCGGCCACGGCCUGACAGCGCUGCGGCGCCUAGGGCGAUGCGCCUAGGGGAGGGAUCCCCUCUGGGCCCUGAAGGACGGAACGAUGAUCCAUUCAGAAGAGCAGGAUGAGGUGAGCUUGAUAAAGACUCACCCCGCUCCUGUACAAGGGACUGAAGACAGCCUUUUAACAAAGUGGCUUUUUAACAUGUUUUUCAUGUCUUAAAAAUGUUUUACCUUUGUUAGAUCAUUAGUACACAUUUUAAAUGGCUUUUACAGAUUUGAUGUUUUUACAAGGAAAGUACUUUUAUUCAUAGUUGUUUUCAUUGGUUUUCACAACAUGUACUUUUUAACAAAUUUAAAUGUAACUUUCAAAUGCUGUGUUUUAUGCUUUUUUGCCGUUUUUAUGUGUAUAAAUGAUGUAAAAAAUGUAUGAGCUGUUUUUAAAGGAAUUGUACCAAUAAAACUUUUCCAAAA